AAUUCAAUGAUUUCAACUUCACCGCUGACCAGCCAAGCCUUACAGCCUUCGAGUGUUUGCCCCUAUAUUAUUCUGUCCACCAGCCGGACCUCUUUCUGAUGAGCCA